rnacentral:rRNA from 1 species
UACGUAGGGCGCAAGCGUUAUCCGGAAUUAUUGGGCGUAAAGAGCUCGUAGGCGGUUUGUCGCGUCUGCCGUGAAAGUCCGGGGCUCAACUCCGGAUCUGCGGUGGGUACGGGCAGACUAGAGUGGUUGCAGGGGAGACUGGAAUUCCUGGUGUAGCGGUGAAAUGCGCAGAUAUCAGGAGGAACACCGAUGGCGAAGGCAGGUCUCUGGGCCACUACUGACGCUGGAGAAGCGGAAAGCAUCGGGGAGCGAACAGG